rnacentral:pre_miRNA from 1 species
UUAACUCGAUUUGGUAUGGAGUUGGAACGUUUGGUUACGUUUGCCGCUAAGGGCGCUGUUCCAACUGCCUACAAAUUUGAGUUA